AACCAACAAAAAAAUCACUACUUGGGGAAAAGUCAGGAACGGACAAAAACUACUUGGCCAUGCUGUGGAUAAGUUUGGUGUGAAAUUUCAAACUUUGAAGAUGAUAAAGGGACUCUAGGUGACCGCCAGGCUUCACUGGUUGCACUUGUCGAGGACAAAGAGUUAGAUUUGAUGACAGUCCAAGCGUUCAUUGAUGAUAUUUGAGGCAAAGUCAUAAAAACUGAGGAAACUAAGUUCAAAAAAUCACGAAAUGGCAGAAUGUCAGCAAAAAUUCGAGAGUAUUUUAUUUGAGUUGAACACCCUCCUCCGAGGGGUUCCUUGAGGAUUUUGAUAAACGUCUCUCAGCCAUUGAGGUUGAAGCUGGAAGAAAAUACACAGAGGUCGCAAGUUCGUGGCGGAAUAGUCAUGUGGGAGAAGCACAGAGGGUGCGAAAAUUAGAGCGAGAAGUACCGAGCCACGUUGAAUAGGUUAGGGACGUAGUAUGAAGAAUUUUCAUAGGUUCGAAGUAAAGACAAAACGAAAGAGAUCUCUCGGAAAAUGACACAUCGAAGAUUGGGAAAAGAAGAAUUGGGAACUGGCCCUUCCUGGUUCAUUUCAUCAAGAAGGAGGACCGAAAUCAUGUCGAAGGAUUAAGAAAAACGAAUGUAAAAAGUCAAAAUCUUUUUCUCUCUGUCCAACGCCCACGAGAAGAGCCUCGAGGAAUGAUCGGUGGGGAGAGCUGAAGGAGAGGCGAGUUGCUACAAGCAGAAGAGACGUUACUUGGAGAACUUCGUUGUAAACCAAAACGAAGAAGUUAAGAACUUCCCGGACCAAAACUACGAGUCGGAAGUUUCUGUCGAUUGAGAAAAUUAAAUUUUCUGCGACAUUCUGCCGUGGGAAUGCAAAAAUUGUAAUUGAGUAACAAAGACGGCGAAAGAAAAUGAGAAGACAAGUUAAACGAUAGUAACAAUGAAGAAAGAACAGAAGUUACGAGGGUUGAAGACUUAGCGGCCAAGCCCAAUAACAAUAUUGGGCCGCUACAAGAGGGUGGACCUUCACACAAGAGAAGCCUUGGUUUACGCAUGCUAAUCCGGAAGCAUUUCCCUGACCUGAUCCAUUUGAAGAACGAAGAGUCCUGACGCAAUGGUGGUGUUUACUACAACAUCGAUCGAGGAGGACGUUGAUGUGGGUUCUUGGCAGACUUUAGAAAUGUAAUUGUUAGGGUAGAUUUAAGGUGGUUUGUCGAGGCGAGAAACUUGUGGGGCCGGGCUUAUGUCACAAAAGGGGGUCAACUUCCUGAUAUUCCGUAACGAAUUGUGUUUUGAAAGGUUGAUUUUGCUGACAUUGGAAUUCCUGGGACGAGGGGUCAUAAUUUUGGUAAUGUCAGCCUAGCAAAGCUCAAUAAAAGAAGGCGGAAUACGAGGGGGGUUGAAUUUUGAUUACUUUUGGGGUAACUCUUCGCGUCGGUUGUGCGUGUGACCCGGGUAGUGACCUGUGUCCUCCCCUCGUUGUUGUUUCGGAGUACUGUAAAAGAUGGAUCUGAUAAAAGUCGGUAAUUCAUGUAUGUACAUAGUUGGUAAGCAAUAAAUUCUAUUUUUUUA